rnacentral:rRNA from 1 species
UAACCUGCCUUAUAGUGGGGGAGUAGCCUUUCGAAAGGAAGAUUAAUACCGCAUAAGAUUGUAGUAUCGCAUGAUAUAGCAAUUAAAGGAGCAAUCCGCUAUAAGAUGGACCCGCGUCGCAUUAGCUAGUUGGUGAGGUAAUGGCUCACCAAGGCGACGAUGCGUAGCCGACCUGAGAGGGUGAUCGGCCACAUUGGGACUGAGACACGGCCCAGACUCCUACGGGAGGCAGCAUG